rnacentral:rRNA from 1 species
GACGAACGCUGGCGGCGUGCUUAACACAUGCAAGUCGAACGAAGUGGCGAUCGGGUGUGGAAUUCUUGCAUAACCUGCCCUCUUUUUUGGGAUAAGCCUUGGUAACGGGGUCUACUACCGAAUACAUGGGUAUGGGCUCGUGGCCUAUCGGCUGGUUGGUGGGGGGAUGGCCUACCAAGGCGGUGACGGGUAGCCGGCCUGAGAGGGUGACCGGCAACAUUGGGACGGUGAUACGGCCCAGAGUCGUACGGGGGGGAGAAGUGGGGGAUAUUGCACAAUGGGCGAAAGACUGAUGCAGCGGUGCCGCGUGGGGGAUGAAGGCUUUCGGGUUGUAAACGUCGUUCGCUAUCGAACGGGUAGGUGGAGAAGAAGCGCCGGCUAACUACGUGCCAGCAGCCGCGGUAAUUC